rnacentral:lncRNA from 1 species
GUAAGAACUCAGGGCCCUAUCCUCACAGCAAGUGGCAAAAACCCUGUAAUGGAGCUCAAUGAAAAAAGAAGAGGUCUCAAGUAUGAACUCAUCUCAGAGACUGGUGGAAGCCAUGACAAGCGCUUUGUAAUGGAGGUAGAAGUAGAUGGACAGAAAUUCAGAGGCGCAGGUCCAAAUAAGAAAGUGGCAAAGGCGAGUGCAGCUUUAGCUGCCUUGGAGAAACUGUUUUCUGGACCCAAUGCGGCAAAUAAUAAGAAAAAGAAGAUUAUCCCUCAGGUAUGAGGCGUUGUGAAUACAGCUGUGUCUGCAGCAGUCCAAGCUGUUCGGGGCAGAGGAAGAGGAACUCUAACAAGGGGAGCUUUUGUUGGGGCGACAGCUGCUCCUGGCUACAUAGCUCCAGGCUAUGGAACACCAUAUGGUUACAGCACAGCUGCCCCUGCCUAUGGUUAAUACUUUUAAGCAGUUUUCAGCACGUUUAUCUCACUUUAUUCUCGUUCUCCUCGGACCUUCGUAGCCAUAUCACUUGUAUAAAAUAGGCUGAGAUAUAGUGACUGUAAGCUGUGAUCUCAGUAUACAAAGAACCAACUUCAGCAAGACUCGGGUGGUGAAUAUCGAGUCUGCAGAGACCAAAUAGACUUAAAGCAAUCCAUCUGUCUUUUCCAGGUUAGGUAGCUAGAUUAUUUAUUUCCCACCUUAUUCAACCAUCAUGGAGUUCAUGUAAAGAUGUGAGGGUUAGGCAGACAUUUUAAUAAAGAUUUGCUUCAUUUAGGUGUGUCC